UACAUUUUUAUUAAUUGCUUAUAUUUUUAAUAUGUCAUAUAGUAUAAAAUUCCUAUCAAACAUAAAUAAUUUUACUACAAUUUUUAAUAAAUAUAAAUUUAAAUACAAAAAUGAGGAUAUAACACUUAAUAUUACAAAAAAUAUUAAUACCUUUAAUGUAUAUAAUUCUACUAUUCCCAAUUUGGAAGUUCAAAAAUUAAAUGAUAAGAUGGUCAUCACAGUUGAUAAGUUUAUAAAGAAUAUAAAAAUACAAUGUAAAAAUGAAGAUGUUUUACCACAUUUAAUGGAAACAUAUUCUUUACAAAAUCCUAUAUUGAUGAAUGCAUCAAUAUAUAAAACAACAUUAAAUCCUAAUAAACAGUUGCAUUUUUUAAUUAUUGAUGACCAUAGAAGUAAAAAUUUUUAUCAUAAGGUAAAAAAUAAUAAAAAAAUUAAAACAUAUAAUCUAAUACAUAAUUUCACCACAUUUAAUGAUACACUACUUAUUCCUCAAAUUCCAUUCACCUUCAAAGAAUCAUAUGAAACAAAAUUCAAUGAUAAAGAAAUCUUGGAUAAUAUAUCUAUAGAAACAAUGCAAUCUAUAGAUAAAUUUGAAGACUAUUGUACUCUUUAUUUCUUUUACCUAAAGACAUGUCCAUUUUCAAUUGAAAUAGCUCAAAAAAUUAAUGCACUACCAAUGAUAUUUCCUCAGAUCAUCAUAUUAGCAAUAGAUGUAAAUGAUUAUUGGAACCUUAGCUUAAAAUAUGGGCUGCUUUAUGUACCUAAUCUGAUACUUUUAAAAGGAAGCACAAUUAUUGGAAGACUAAAGGAACCCAUCAAUUUGGAUAACAUAAUAUCAUUUAUUGUCAACAAUACGGAUCUAGAACCAAAAUAUGUCAACCUUAAUUUUAUUUCCGACGACUUCUCAGGACCGAUCCCAACAAAGCUUACACCCGAGAGUCCACUGUUCUUUUAUUUAUCUAUGGCGUUUUUAUCCUUUUUAGGGUUUAAUUACGUUUUCAAGCAUGAUCGUCAUCUAAAACGUCUGUUUCAUAAAACUAUCGAUACCCUUGCACCUUCCAUGAUUCGCAUUAUAUCGUUUAUUAAAAAGUUAACAAGGUGGCCCCACGCCAUCAAUCAAAAUAGGCAUCCUCACUCGGAAUGACGCGUAACGAAGAUUGUGAAAUUUUUUUAGGAUUCUUUGUAAAUUUAUAAUUGUUGAAAUACUUGGAUAUUUAUUAGAUGUUAUAUAAUAUUUUAAAUUGGUAAUCUUUACUGAACAUUGUGUAAAAAAAUAAAGCGUUGUAUAGAAAGUC